AGUGGGGGAAUAUUGGUCAAUGGGGGCAACCCUGAACCAGCGAAUGCCGCGUGAAGGAAGAAGGCCUUCGGGUUGUAAACUUCUUUGGACAGGGGACGAAAUUUGACGGUACCCUGAAAACAAGCCACGGCUAACUACGUGCCAGCAGCCGCGGUAAUACGUAGGUGGCGAGCGUUGUCCGGAUUUACUGGGUGUAAAGGGCGCGUAGGCGGGUAUGCAAGUCAGAUGUGAAAUUUAUGGGCUUAACCCAUAAACUGCAUUUGAAACUGCGUAUCUUGAGUGAUGGAGAGGUAAGUGGAAUUCCUAGUGUAGCGGUGGAAUGCGUAGAUAUUAGGAGGAACACCAGUGGCGAAGGCGACUUACUGGACAUUAACUGACGCUGAGGCGCGAAAGCGUGGGGAGCAAACAGGAUUAGAUACCCUGGUAGUCCACGCUGUAAACGAUGAAUACUAGGUGUGGGGGGACUGACCCCCUCCGUGCCGCAGUUAACACAAUAAGUA
rnacentral:rRNA from 1 species